GAUUACAAUAAUAAAGAAAGUGUUAUAUAUAAGUUUCGAUCGACUACUAACCGCCCGCUUACUCAUGUGUACAGAAAAUAUAUAAAGGUUUGAACACGUAGGACGGUCAGCGUCAAAAUUAAAAUGUAGUGCCACCCCCAACUCCGGAACCAUUGCUCAUUUCCGCCCCCGCGCCGCCGUCCCAGAGGAGCCGAGUAAUUUGGGGUUCAAAAUACAUUUCCUGCAAGUAAUAUGUCCAUUUAUGUUUAAUGAUGUGGGCUGCGAAACUAUGAAUCAAUUGUCUCGAGAUGAAUCGGUUUCUUUUGUUCUCCUUGCUUGUAAAGUUAUUAUGUAACUGUGUGGUAAUGAAAUAGAAUAUUUUUAAGUAAGACAUGCUAUUUGGACUGGUACGAGGUACCUCGUUUUAUGCUGCUAGAACUUCUCGGACCGAGGGAUUUUGACAUUUUGUGAUAGAGUCCCGUUUUCUAUGUCUACGAUUAAGUAUGUUAUCCGUAGCUUGAGUGAGAAUGUUGAGCGAGGAUCCGUUGAAAGAAGGAUGUCAAUUUUGUAAUUGUAUUGCAUUAACUUUUCGAGUAAGGUGGUUUCUUUAA